rnacentral:rRNA from 1 species
UACGUAGGGUGCGAGCGUUAAUCGGAAUUAUUGGGCGUAAAGCGUGCGCAGGCGGUUCGCCAAGUCAGGUGUGAAAUCCCCGGGCUUAACCUGGGAAUUGCGCUUGAAACUAGCGGGCUUGAGUGUGGCAGAGGGGGGUGGAAUUCCACGUGCAGCAGUGAAAUGCGUAGAGAUGUGGAGGAACACCGAUGGCGAAGGCAGCCCCCUGGGUCAACACUGACGCUGAGGCGCGAAAGCUAGGGGAGCAAACGGG